rnacentral:lncRNA from 1 species
CCACAGGUCGGCGCGCUACGGUGACGACGGCAGCUUUGGAGCGCGCCACACAGCCUUCUCCUCCCACCCUCCGGCCCUGCGCUCAUAUAAGCGUGCUCAAAGGGACCGCAGGGGGGCGCCGGCAAACCGUCGCUGCGACGGAGAGCUUGGUGGUUAGAGUGACGUCGCGCGCCAAAGAGCGGGAGGAAGGGCUGCUCUGUGUGGCAGAGGCUUCUGGGAAACACCCUGCCCGCUCUGCCCUCCGCCCACGGCCCACUAUGCUUUCUGUGCGCCUGCGCCAUGCAGGGAUUUUGGGCUUCCCCUUUGGCGGCCUGGCGGAUUACACCGCGAAAGCUAUAAAAAGGGCUCCUGGAGGCCCGGGCUUGAGAUUUACGAGGCCGUUCGCCUGCAUCAGUAUCGCAGGGUGACGUUUAAAAGCGUGUCCGUACCCUGCGGGUUGUUUGCCCACCUGCCGUACAUUUGCGGGAAGGACGUAGCGUCCGCAGUGUGGGAGCCCAUCUGGCUCCGCUCUUGGAUAUUGACUGGGCGGGACCCUCAUCGCAUCCAGCCCAGGGGAGUACUCGCGAGCACAGGCCCACGCAAGAAAGUUGAACCUGCUCACGACUGAUUUAAAUAGCUCCACUUUGUGGACAGGUAGUGACGGUGUGUGUGUGUGUGUAUAUAUAUAUAUUUUUUUUUUUGCGGUACAGGGGAUUGAACUGAGGACCUUUCGCGUAUGAGGCAGGCGCGGCGCCACUGAGCUAACUCCCCAGCCCGGUGACAAUUUUUGCCAGUCUUCGACACCUGCCCUAGCGGUUCUUCACAGACUUCUUUGUGUUUUGCAAAGGCAUUGGCUUUUUGACCGUAUCAUUUUUCUUGGGGCGAUUUCAGGAACCCCCUGUCUUCUAUUGCUGCUCUCUGCAUCCGCCUCUUUUGAAGUGGUCUUGGCCUUCCCAGAACCUGGGAUGGAGCGCGCCGCCCUGCGGUCCUGGCUACCGGUCUCUGUCGCGUACUACCGCUGCGCGCCCUUUCCGGUCCAUGCCCUCUUCCCUUUCCGAGAUCCUGGGCCCCAGGAUCUUUCCUCCGGAGUUUCCCGACCUCCCUGGCUAUUGACCAUGCUCCUGCCGCUUUCCCGCAGGUUCCCAGACGUAGCUGGUCUAUGUGUUCCCUGCUCCCCGUACCUACCCGAGUCGUCGCUUCGGGGACACCCUCAUCCUGUGUGCCUUGUUAAAUCUUCCAAGUGCCUGUCUUACACUGAGGAUUGGGAUGGUGUCUGCCAGGUUCCUGACAGGGCCGAGCAUUUAAAUACCUGCUUAAGGAACACAAGUGACAACCUCUCUGAAGCGUGGUGUGGGUGUAUGAGGAGGAGGAGGACGUUGACAUUGGCCAUGUGAGCCAAAGUUUCUAUGACAGUGAAAUGGAACAAGAAUUGACUGAUACAGACUCAGGGAAUGCAGACCUCCUUGAUUCAAAUGACAAAACAGCAAUGUGAGUACAUAUUUGACUAGUCAAAAUGUUGCAAAAUGGCCAUACAACCAAAUGGAACAAUCCAGUGUUAGAACUAGGUCCAAAAAUAUAGUGAGGGUCUUGGCAGGGGUGAAAUGUAUUGGACAAUCCCAGCACUGCUAUUCAAUGUUGGAAAUUGUAACAGACGAAAUGCUACAAGAUGCUAUGAAAUACACAAAGGCUGAAAUGCAAGUAAAAUGUUCUCUAUGCACCAAUAGCCAUAUUCAAAAAUGUAUUUAUUAUGAUUCCAGAACUGAAAACAUUCAUAGGUCUGCUGUACUCAGCAGGGAUUUCUCAUGGUAAUCGCAGGAAUGUUAAAAAAAAAUUAUGGAAAAAGUAUUGAGUCAAUAUAUGGCAUAAAAUUUUAUGGCCUUGUAACUGCAAAGACUUAUGCUUUCAGUUUAGACAUUUAUCCUGAAACUCAGCUAUCAAGUCCUUAUUCAUACAGUAAUAAACCAAAUGAUGUUAACAGGCUUGUUGCUCCAAUCUCCCAAACUAAUUAGAAUGUGACAUUUUACAAUUAGUUUAUCAGUUUCCAGUUGAUACUACAUUUGCUAACAGAGCACAAGCUGACCAGUGCAGGAACUGUACACAGGAACAAAGCAGAGAUUCCAAAUGAAAUGUUGCAAUUUCAAAACAAAAUUGUAGAGUACAAUCUUUCGGUUUCAGAAAGAUUUACAUAUAGAAAAUAUGGCAAAGAAAAACAAACUGGUACUGCUGAUGUCAACAUUCCAUCAUAAUAGAAGUAUUGACAAAUGGAACAAAAUUGAACAAAAUGGAAGCCUGAGAUGGAAAUGUUCUACAACACAACCAAAGGUUUUGCAAGCAAGUAAACAGCUGAUGUGAAAAUGUUGAUGUCUAUUAUAAAGCACAAUGCAUACUAAGAAUUUACUACUUAUUUUAUUGUUAUUUUACGUUCCUGUUAACUACACACUGUAUAAAAGAAACUCCUGACAAAACAACAAGACCAGUAAGAUGUCAAGUAUGUCCUACAAAAAGGCCAGGAAACCAAAACACGUGAGCUGUCAUUGUAAGCAAUCUGUGUGUAUGGAAUGCACUGUUGUCUUAUGUGUAGACUACCUUACAUGUGAUUAUUGAAGUAAAGAUUGUAUUUUGGAAAGUGCUAU